rnacentral:rRNA from 1 species
UACAGAGGGGGCAAGCGUUGUUCGGAAUUACUGGGCGUAAAGCGCGCGCAGGCGGCCUUUUAAGUCUGACGGUGAAAUGCCGGGGCUCAACCCCGUGCCCGCCGGAGAUACUGGGAGGCUGGAGACGAGUAGAGGCAAGCGGAAUUCCGGGUGUAGCGGUGGAAUGCGUAGAGAUCCGGAAGAACACCGGAGGCGAAGGCGGCUUGCUGGGCUCGGUCUGACGCUGAGGCGCGAAAGCGUGGGGAGCGAACAGG